GAUGAACGCUGGCGGCGUGCCUAACACAUGCAAGUCGAACGAAGCACAUUGGAUUGAUUCUUCGGAAGAAAGAGAAUGUGACUGAGUGGCGGACGGGUGAGUAACGCGUGGGUAACCUGCCUCAUACAGGGGGAUAACAGUUAGAAAUGACUGCUAAUACCGCAUAAGACCACGGAGUCGCAUGACUCAGUGGGAAAAACUCCGGUGGUACAGGAUGGGCCCGCGUCUGAUUAGCUUGUUGGCGGGGUAACGGCCCACCAAGGCGACGAUCAGUAGCCGGUCUGAGAGGAUGAACGGCCACAUUGGAACUGAGACACGGGUCCAAACUCCUACGGGAGGCAGCAGGUGGGAAU
rnacentral:rRNA from 1 species